ACUCCUACGGGAGGCAGCAGUGGGGAAUAUUGCGCAAUGGGGGAAACCCUGACGCAGCAAUGCCGAGUGAGUGAGGAAGGCCUUCGGGUUGUAAAGCUCUGUCAGAUGGGAAUAAUUGCUUAGGGGUCCAAUAGGCCCUAAGUUUGAAGGGUACCUUCAAAGGAAGCACCGGCUAACUUCGGUGCCAGCAGCCGCGGUAAUACGAAGGGUGCAAGCGUUGUUC
rnacentral:rRNA from 1 species